rnacentral:rRNA from 1 species
CAGCAGCCGCGGUAAUACGUAGGUGGCAAGCGUUGUCCGGAAUUAUUGGGCGUAAAGGGCUCGCAGGCGGUUUCUUAAGUCUGACGUGAAAGCCCCCGGCUCAACCGGGGAGGGUCAUUGGAAACUGGGAAACUUGAGUGCAGAAGAGGAGAGUGGAAUUCCACGUGUAGCGGUGAAAUGCGUAGAGAUGUGGAGGAACACCAGUGGCGAAGGCGACUCUCUGGUCUGUAACUGACGCUGAGGAGCGAAAGCGUGGGGAGCGAACAGGAUUAGAUACCCGCGUAGUCCCUGUCUCUUAUAC